rnacentral:rRNA from 1 species
UGCCAGCCGCCGCGGUAAUACGAAUGGAGCGAGCGUUGUUCGGAAUCAUUGGGCGUAAAGCGUAUGUAGGCGGACAGAUAAGUCAGAAGUGAAAUCCCGAGGCUCAACCUCGGAAUUGCUUUUGAAACUGACUGUCUCGAGUCCCGGAGGGGUAAGGGGAAUUCCGAGUGUAGAGGUGAAAUUCGCAGAUAUUCGGAGGAACACCAGUGGCGUAGGCGCCUUACUGGACGGGAACUGACGCUGAGAUACGAAAGCAUGGGUAGCAAACAGGAUUAGAUA